CUGAGUUCAUGCGGUUGAAAUCUUGACUUUGGUCACAAGUGAAAUGAGGUCUCACAGUCUAAGGUGUCGUGAUCACAUGGAGCAUUGGAAGCUGCCCAGAGGGUAGAAAAUGUUGCACUAUGCUAUACUCCGGCAAAGGAUAAAAAUUAUCCAGUAAUUCGAGUUGCAGUCAUCACCAUCCAUCUUCUGGCAUUGCCUCUUAGUAAAGCCUGUACUGCUAUUAAAGAAAAUUGUCAACUGGUUCUGCAGAACACAGAAUACUUGUCUCCACUGUUGCUGACUUCCUUGGGUCAGUAGUUUUGGGUAGCCUUUCCCAGUACCUGGGUGAGUUCUGCCAUCAGCAUGUGACUUUAUGGGAGC
rnacentral:lncRNA from 1 species